rnacentral:rRNA from 1 species
GAUGAACGCUGGCGGCGUGCCUAAUACAUGCAAGUCGAGCGAACAGAUGAGGGGCUUGGUGCUCUGACGUUGGCGGCGGACGGGUGGGUAACACGUGGAUAACCUACCUAUAAGACUGGUAUAACUUCGGGAAACCGGAGCUAAUACCGGAUAACAUAUUGAACCGCAUGGUUCAAGAGUGAAAGACGGUUUUGCGGUCACUUAUAGAUGGAUCCGCGCCGCAUUAGCUAGUUGGGAAGGUAACGGCUUACCAAGGCAACGAUGCGUAGACGACCUGAGAGGGUGAUCGGCCACACUGGAACUGCGUCGCGGUCCAGACUCCUACGGGAGCCAGCAGUAGGGACUCUUCCGCCAUGUGCGAAAGCCUGACGGAGCAACGCCGCCUGAGUGAUGAAGGUCUUCGGAUCGUAAAACUCUGUUAUUAGGGCAGAACAAAUGUGUAAGUAACCAUGCACGUCUCGACGUCCCCUAAUCAGAAAGCCACGGCUAACUACGUG